rnacentral:lncRNA from 1 species
UAUUUUCAACCCUGUCAAAGGUACAAGACACGGUGAGGGGAUACAAAGAUAAAAAUAAAUUUUGCAUUAUGCUCGCUAAACUACAUUAGGGCUCUCUGACUACUUUGCCAAUCCUUCCAUUCUCAGCGCUCUCUCUAGUCUUCAGUAUCAGGAACCUCAGUCCCAACACACAACUCCUUUCAACCAUCUAUCUGCCUUUGCCACAUGCUGUCUGUUCUACACAGAAUCCCUCUCCUUUUCUCUACCUUUCUAAACAGUCACCUCUUCAAUGAAGUUCGCCAUGAGUCAUCCAAGAAGAGCUACCUCAACACUCUGAUUCCAAAACCCAUCCUAUAAAGAUCAACAUCAUACCACAUUGACUUGUGGGGCUCAUAAACAACUGAAGAAAUACACAGACACGUACACCAGGAUUAGCCAAACUGUAGUGGGUGCUGUACUGGGAGUUCAAAGACUACGCAGCGGAGGAGAAAGGAUCUGAAGACAAGGAGAAAGAGAAGGAAGGAGUGAGAAGGAUGGAACAAGGGCAUUGCAGGAGGGUGCUCAAAUCCUCAUCACAACAAUGUUCAUUGAAGCCUUACAGUCUUCAAGGAAACCUUCAGACUUUCCUUUGUGCAAACAUCCUUCUGAGCUUGGCUCCAAUCCUCCUCCACCUCGACAUCCAGGUCUCUCCCGUGUGUAUGAUAUACAAGAGCCACAGUCUACUGCACGCUGCUCCCGUCUCUGCACCAGGGAUCCGAGCUCCCAAACUUUCGGGCUUCUGCAUAUGCUGUAGUUUCCUUGGGAGUAGCAUCCCACCCACCUUUCAUCUGCCUAAUUCCUACUCAUCCUUAAUGCUUCCCUUGGGAUUUCCCCACAGAGUGGAAUUCAGAAGGCGGCCCUGCUAUGCCAUCACCUCCUCCCGCAGCCCCCUGCAUGGUUGCUGUUGGCUUCUUUCUGUCCCCCUAGAGAGUUUCUGCCUCCUUGAAGGCGAACUCCUUGUUUAGCCCCCACCCACCUCUUCCCACUUCCCAGGCGCUGUCUGUGUCCAACCUACAGUGAAGACAUUAAUAGGCAAUUAGACUAAUAAACAAACAAAGUAUUUUAAGAAAUUAAACUUCCUGUAAUAUGGUGUCAUUUAUCUGGAAUCUGCAAGAAUAUGACUGAG